UUCCCAUUUUAGGCCGCGGGGAGAGGGAGGAGCGGGAGCGUUCGUGGGAUCGGCGGAGGGAACGGCCGGGAGGCUCAUCCUGAGCUCCGCUGAGGCGGCACCGCAUCUCUUCCCGGCGGUACGACCCCCUCGCCGGGUCUCGGUGGCGGCCCCGCUUGCGGCGGCGAUGGCGCAGGAGCGGGCCCGGCCGGAGCCGGAAGUGGAGCGGCCGCCAUGGAGGCGCCGGGACCGCCCGCCGUGAGGGCGCGGAGCCGCCGGGGCGGCCCGAGCGCCCCGGAGAGACACGCCCGGGGUGCAGGUAGGGGCUGCCGGCCCGCGCCGCCUUCCCGCGGGGGAGGGCGCAGCUCCGCCGCCCUUCAGCGGCCCCGUGACGCGUGUGGGGAGGGAACGCGCCCGGCUCCUGCUGCUCCGGCGCUUCCGCACGGCUCCCUGUGCAGGGAGGCGCGGCAGGGACAGCGAUGUGGGGAAGGCUGAGGGAUUCUUCUGGGACAUGUGUGGGGGUGUUGUGGUGCCUGGGCCUGGAGGUGCGGCCUUGCGAGGCGGGACACCCGCGCCUGUCGGAGUCCUUGGAGAGAGUUUGGUCUUAGAGACGAGCUUUGACUUUACUGAGUAGGAGUUACCGGUUGAAGGCUAUGAUAAAACCAAAUGUUUUAAAUUUAGUUUCAUAUUUUGACAUAUUAUACAGAUUUUUUUCUGUGGCUUAUGGUGAUAAGGAUAGUUUUUAUUUUAUUUAUAGUUUUGCAUAGUUUUUAUUCUGGAGUAAUAGAUCCAUAAUUUUUAUUCCAGAGUGAUGAGCAUUUGUUUGACAGUGCUCACUGUGAGCUUAAAGGCAUCUAUCAGGGUUACCUAAAGUGACAGUGGGGGACCAUUGUGUUAAUUGACAGAAAUACAGAAAUAGAUUAUUAAUUUAGGUAUGGUUCCCUUGUAAGUUCUGCUUUGAAGGUGGCUUUUGUAUUUUUUUAGUUAUUAUAAUUAAAUCUGAUGCUUUAGAAAUUGGCAAGUAAUGGGAGAGUUCUCUAGCGAGUUCAGUGAGCAGAGGUGUGUGGUGCAGGUAAACUCUGAAGGUUUAAUAAUGCACAAAGCACACAGGAUUUGUUGUUGAGAACUGCAGGCAAGGCUUGACAUGGAGGAAAGGUCUGGAAUUUUGGUGUUUAGGUGUGGGUUGUAAACAUAAAGAUGGCUGAAGAUCUCUACAGAACGUGUAAAAGUUGAGGCAUUUAGUGUGGAGGGAGCUUUGAUUGUGUGCUGUCAUUCUGUUUUAUGCAGGGGAUAAAACUGGAGAGUAUCAGAGGGGAACCUAGAGGAGACCUGGACAGGGACUUUGGACAAGGGCAUGGAGUGACAGGAUGAGGGCAAUGGCUUUGCACUGACUGAGAGCAGGUUGAGCUUCCAUAUGAGGAAGGAAUUCCUGCCUGUGAGGGUGGGAGGCCCUGGCACAGGGUGCCCAGAGAAGCUGUGGCUGCCCCUGGAUCCCUGGAAGUGCCCAAGGCCAGGUUGGGCAGGGCUUGGAGCAGCCUGGGAUAGUGGAAGGUGUCCCUGCCAUGGCAGGGGGUUGGAAUUGGAUGAUGUUUUUAAGCUUCCUUCCAAACCAAACCAUUCCCUGAUUCUAUGACUUAGAAUAUGUUAUGUCUAACCCAAAUGUUAACAAAACUUCCAUAAUUCCAUUUGAAUGUGAACUUGUGAUCUCUGUGGAAUGUAUUGGGGAAAUCCUGGCUUGGAUUGUGAGCUGUUCCUGAGGCAUGGUUUGUAUCUCUGUACUGAGUGUAGAACCAUUCAAUAAAUAACAGUUUGUGAUUGAACUAACCAGUCUUGUUUCUGAUUUCUAGCAUAAAAAUCCUGCCCCUGUGGAUGUAGCAGUUACAGCCAGCACAAUUAGGAGGCUCAUGGCACAUCACCCACCAAGCUGCUGUGAGCAAAAGGACUUUAUUUCUGUAUAGCCAGUGAGCAGGAGAGGUGACUUGUUCUUUUAUGGUAUUUUAAGCACCUAAGAAUGCCCAGUGGGCAGCUCAGGACAGCACAAAUGUUCCCACACAGCUUAGGGAUGAUGUCUGGUGUCAUGGAAUGAGAACACUGUGCUUUUGGCAAGGCAGGAAAAAAGUCUAAUUUUGAUUUCAGUAUCUUUUCAUUGGAAUAGGAACUUCAGGACUCAAGAGUUACUCCAUGGUACUGAAAUUACUCAUCCUAAAUGUCAUUGUUAAACAGCUCUGAAACUUGAACCCAUCCUGGCUGUGCUGGAUUUUCAUGCCCCAUCCCCCUGUGCAAACCCUUACAGGGAAGCUGUGGGAAUGAGUGGAAGAAAUGAGCAGAGGAGGUCACUUUGCUGAGCCUUUUUAUCAUGGCCUGGUGUGUUCACUGCACAGAGUUUACAGCUGAGAAGCUCUAGAGUGGGACAAUCACAGACUGCAAGUUCACGUUGGUGAGGAUAGUUACAGCUAUCCUGGGGAAGUCAUGCAGUGUUGCAAAACAACUACACAGCACUGCAGGGAAGCUGAAGAUUUGUGCAGCAGCUUUAAUUUAGAUGUGGCAAAGGAUUCUGUCAUCACCUGCAAUCAAGUGAUCAGCCUGUCUUUCAAAACUUGAAGUAGGUGCUUGAAGUCAAAUGAGAAUUUAGUUACUGUUCUGGGUAGUACUGCUCACAGGAGAAUGUUCUUACAUAUUUUUCAAAAGAACACUUUGGAUGCCAGCAGUAAAGGUGAAGGAUCAGAUAUUUAUAUCUACCUGUCAUUAGUUCCCUUUCAGGCUUUCUGAGUAACAUUUUUCAUGGCAGGCACAAGACAGUGAUUAGUACCAGAAAUGUAUCUUGUGCAUGUACAGGCUGCAUCAGUGCAUCAACCAUUCCAGUGUUGUAAACUUAAUUAUUUAAACUCUCUGUGCUUUUUAACUGGCUUCCAAAUUAUCUCUGCAUCAUGCAGCCUUUUUUUUGGCUUCUGAGGUGAAAACCUUAUUCCUGAUGUAAAUUCUUUAUCUGUGAAAGUUUUGAUCUUUCAAGGGGAGAAAAUAUGGUUUUUUGCAGGAAUGAAGGAAUAGUUUUGUUGGUAAAUACAGUUACCCAUUUACAGGUUGAAUAUAUUUUAUGUUCUUGAAAUAAACUUAAAUGGAAAACAUUCAAACUUACACCUGAAUCUCUAAAUAGUCUGUAUUCUUCCUAACAAAGUCAAAUCUCUAGUUUAUAAUUACUGCUGCUUUAGUAAACUCCCAUCUAAAUCAAAUGUACAGGGUAAAACUUGAAAGCAAAACCCAUGUGGGUUUGGGAGUGGCAAUUACUUAUUUCAUUGCUGUGAAAACCAGCAGGAGAAAAAGUCUUUGAAGUUCUGCAUGUUGUAUUUGAAGAACCUUACUGCAGUCUUCUGAGUAAAUUAAGAUGCUGAAAUAGAAGCUACUCCUCCAUAAAUAUUUAACUUCUAAGAUCUACUUUGUAGCAACAGUGUGGUCACUUUUUCAGCCUUUUGUGAUACCACACUGGGAGGAAAUGUUUGCUGGAGAGGUGUUUGUGCUGCCCAUAGCUCAGAUGUGACUUGCUGCUGACACUGGAGAGCUGAAAUGGCUGUUUCAUUUGGGUGUAGAGAACUAACUCUGGCUGGAUUCGUUUCUUUACCUCUGUUACAUUCAGGCUCUUCUUUGUCAGUAGUUUAGUGAUCUGUCAUGGGCAAUCUGAAGUAAGAGUCUUCCCUGUUCAUCCUUUUAUCCUACCUGUUGCUAAUAUUUAGUUUAUAUUUAUUUAUAUUUAGUUUAUAUUUUAGACUGAUUUUUUUUUUCCUCACUGUUUCCUGUGAAGACUUUUUGCUGCAGCAGUAGCCAUAUAAUAAAAGUACAAGAAGGAAAUAAAGGUCUUAUGAGUCAUGCUCUCAUAUACCAGUGUCUGAAAAAGCUUGUGCAAGUGGCUUGCAGAGUUCAGACUUUAACUAAAAUGCAUCUUUCCAUACUUGUGGAGAUAAAAGAACAGGUCCUAACACUGCUGGUGAGUCCUCGGACGUGGUGCACCUGCCAGAACAGGGGUGUCUCAGGCUUGCCAGCACUGAUAAGCUGGUGAUUAAAAUAUUCUAUUGUUACAGAUGCAGAGUGUAGAGCAACGUGAUCCAGCAGGAUCAGGACUAUGGAAUCCUUCCUUUAACCCUCCAGAGCACUCUGUGUGUCCCUGAAGUGUGUGUGUGGCACUGCAGUCUGUGUGGCACUGCCAGCCUGCAGCCUGGCACAAAGAAGGAAGCAGCAGCAGCCCUGCUGUUCAGCAUGGCUGCUCAGCAAAAGAGCUGGUGAGGGCAGUGGUUACAUGGCCUUUCUUCCAGGGCUUUUGCUUGUCCAAAUUAUUUCAGUCACUGCAGGUUAAUUUACUUUUCAGCCUCAGCUAAUAAGACUGCAGUUGGUCAGUAUUGAUUCUUACUUAAAAGUAUUAAUGCCUUCAGUCUGUUGAAUUAAAUGUUUUGAGCUGUGAGUAGCUGCUGUUGGUGAGAACCCACAGUUCAGCCAGUGAUUAAAUUCUGAUUUUUUUUUCCUGCUCAGCCAUCUUUUCCAAAGCUAUUUUUCAUUUGUGUGUGUUUUUAGAGGCUGUUAUUCCAGGUAACUCAUUUCCAGGUGGCCAGGGAGUUGGCUGCCCCAUCAACACUUAAGCUGUUAAUUAAUUGCCAGCCUGUGCUGUUUGCUGGAGUUGGUACCUUCAGGGAUGUGCCUUUCCCUGCAGUGCUCCUGUGUAGUGUCACCUCAUUAGCUACAGCUCUAAACAGAGCUGUGUUGUGUGACAUUCAGAACUCUGACAGAGCAAAAUACAUGGCUUUUUAGAGGGUUUUGUUAUUCUGGAUCAAUGGAAGAUGUAUUUGUGGGAAUGAUCUGUCUUGUCCUUGCAAGCAGCACAACAGGAUACACUGGUGUGAGGGUAGACACAAGCUGGGGGAAGCAGCUCUUAUUAAACCAACUGAUGGAAAACACAUUUAGCUACACUUUGGUUCAGCCUCAAACAGCAUUUCAGGUUUGUUUCUGUUCCUGAUGUACCUAGAAGUGUUUGGGGGAAAUAGGCUCUCACUUGGUGGGCUUUGUUGGCUGUGGGAGCACCUGGGUUUAGAAUUGAAAGUGAGCUUUGAACAUUCUGCUAAAGUAGCUGGUGCUUCCUGUGCUGCUCCCAUCACCUGUUAAUGCAGUCUCAUGGAACAGCUCUCUGUUCUUUCUGAAUGUAAUGAAAGGAGCAGAUUUCCUGCUUCUCCAAAAUCCCAACAAACAAGAUCAAAUUUAACUUACAAAUAUUUAGGCAUCGCUUGGGUGGGUUUUGGGGGUGUGUGGGUGUGUUUGGAAUGCAUCAGUUUUUGGGUGAAUUCACUAUAAUUGAACCUACUCUUAAUCUGGUGAAAUUGGGAUCCUAAUGACUGAUUUUGGAUAUGCAGACAGUAUGUGUACCAAAUGAUAUCUAAUUUUAUGCAGCAAUAAAGCACACCAUGUUCUUUCGAAA